CCUACGGGAGGCACCAGUGGGGAAUAUUGCACAAUGGGCGCAAGCCUGAUGCAGCCAUGCCGCGUGUGUGAAGAAGGCCUUCGGGUUGUAGAGCACUUUCAGCGGGGAGGAAGGCGGAGAGGUUAAUAACCUCAUCGAUUGUCGUUACCCGCAGAAGAAGCACCGGCUAACUCCGUGCCAGCAGCCGCGGUAAUACGGAGGGUGCAAGCGUUAAUCGGAAUUACUGGGCGUAAAGCGCACGCAGGCGGUCUGUCCAGUCGGAUGUGAAAUCCCCGGGCUCAACCUGGGAACUGCAUUCGAAACUGGCAGGCUAGAGUCUUGUAGAGGGGGGUAGAAUUCCAGGUGUAGCGGUGAAAUGCGUAGAGAUCUGGAGGAAUACCGGUGGCGAAGGCGGCCCCCUGGACAAAGACUGACGCUCAGGUGCGAAAGCGUGGGGAGCAAACAGGAUUAGAUACCCUCGUAGUC
rnacentral:rRNA from 1 species